rnacentral:lncRNA from 1 species
UGAAUAAUAGCUCUAUAAAUUUAACUUUAACUGUAAAUUCAAAUAGUUAGAUUUUGAGAAAUUUGCAUAAAUCUAGAUUGUUGAAAUUGAAAUGGGGAAGAAGAAAAUUGUUAGUGAAGUAAUAGAAGUUCAGUCUAAAAAGAGGAAUGAUAUUGGUGAAGAAAGAAGAAAUCGAUUAAAAAGAAGCCACAUGAUCUUUAAGAAAAAGAAGAAAUUUUAGUGAUGAUUCUUCAUUGAGGCAUUCAAACCAGAAAAAGUAGCAAUUUAAGAACCUGAUGUUAAUUCAAACCAAGCUAAAGAUUUAAAAAAUAAAUAAACAAAAUAAAUAAAUAAAUAAUAAAUAAAAAAAUAUAUAUUUUUCCUCUUUCUUUCCUUCUCCUUUUCCCCCCUUCUCCUUCUUUUCCUUCCUCCUUUUCCCUUCUCUUUUCUCCCUUCUCCCUGCCGACUGCCCUCUCCCCCUCACCGCCUGCGUGCCGCCCAGAUCGCCGCCGCAUACAGCAGCGCCUUUCCCCUCCUCCCGCUGCCGCGCGCCGCCUUCCCUUUCUCCCUCCCUUCCGCGCGACGCCGACGAAGGACGAAAGAGGCUGCCGUCGUCGAUUUGGCUUCCUGCCGGCGUCCUUUCAGCAAUCCGACGCCGGAUUCGGACUCCUCACCCCCAAAAACCCCCGAAGCAAGUCUCUCCCGCCGAUUUCCUCCACCGGUAGCUUCGGAGGAGCUUCACCGGAGUAGUACCUUUCCGGACCCGAUCCGGUGUCUUCCGGCGAGUUUCCGCCGAAACUCUCAUGUUUUCGGACUUCCCGUGACUCGAGCUUCGAGUAGGCGCUUCCGAAUUCGAAUUCUGAUACUGUUGGCAGGACCAGCUUCCGGACUCCGAUGUUCUCUGGACGUUUGAAAUAUUGUAAUUUUGACUUGGUAUAAUUUUAUUUACACCCUAAAAAUUAUUUUGUAAUUUAAAACAAUACCGUGGCUAUUAAUUAUCAGUGAUGGAUAAUUUAAAAAUUAAUUGAAUUUUAAUUAAUUGUGAUUGUAUUGUGUUGCGGAGUGAAGAGAAAUAAUGCAGUUUUGGUGGCCCAACUCCUUUUAAUUAAUCGCAGGAUAUUUCAAGUGUUUUUGGCAGGUUCUGGAUCCAUUUUACGGGGAAUAAACGUCUGUAAUUUAGGGGAGGUUUUGCCGAAUUUUCAACAGAAUUCUCGAGUCUAAAAUAAUUUUAGGCUGUCUAAUCUGGGGGUCUAGGCCUAGGAAAAAUUUAUGAAUGUCUAUUAAUUGAGUGUUUUCGUGAAUAGAUAAUCUAUCCAUUCCGCCAGCUCCACCCGAGGCAUAGGAGCGAACCGAGGAGCGCGA